UUAAAAUAAAUAUUUUUGUUUAAUCCAACAUUACAGAAACCUCUGAGGCAGAGUGUGUCAGGCAGAGAGACAGGAAAGCGAGAGAUGGUAGUUGCAGAGACAAAAGGAUAGUUCCAAUUCUAGCAGCAUAGGUCCAGUUCUUGAAGCAUCAGGAUCCAUCCAACGUGGCUUCUAGACGUAUCUCUCCAAGGGGAAGUGUCCUGUAAAACAUUUGCAUAGGAAAGGUCGCGGACUGAGGCUUAAAUGCGUCUCCUUCCUCUUCCCUGUGAGAUAAGAUGCAUGUGGCAUACAGCUGGGACCAAUCUGAUGUAAUACUUGAUGUGUAACAAGGUCUGUGGAACUCCACCGGUUGCUUUGCCCCUCUGGAAAUAUCCUUUUACUCCUCGGGAAUCCUCAUUUGGACUGAUGUUAUCACCAUCUGCAGUUAAAAUCUAUAAUCUACUUUCAAGAUGUUCAAAUCUUAAGUCCUACAAUUUAGUUUCUCCUGUAUUUUACAUAUUUUUUGGGUCUGUACUGUUUUUAGACACGUUAGCAGCAUAGCUAUAGGAACGGCAUCAUUGGUGCCUCAGUUGGUCGAUUACUUUGGUCCAGACAAAUGUAUCUAUGAUUGCAUAGAUUGCCUUUAAAUGUUGUACAGACAUUCAGGGUGCCCAGAGGAUGGAUCCUAAAGACAAUCUCCAGCAUUUUUUGGCAGCAUCAUCAAGUCAAAGCUUUCAUCUACCAAUGAGAUAUCUCAACAUCUAAUGAAUGGAUUGGACACAUUUUGUACUGACAUUCAUUGUUCCUAGAUGAUGUAUCCUUGGGUCUUUGGUGAUUCCCUGACUUCUCCUUUUUUACCACAUUUUACCAUGAGGUUUGUCAACGUGUCUUGACAACUAUUAGAUGGAUUGGUGUGAAAUUUGAUGCACACCAUCAUGCAAGCGUUGCGAGCAUGUAAGCGUAAAGCUCAAAGCAGACUCAGACUGUAGACUCUUAGUCUUGUGGAAAAUAUUCAUGGUUUUAUAUUCUACGUAGGCUAAUAAUUCAUUGGGUGAGCAGGCCCAAACCUUUCCCGGAUUGAUGCUUUUCUUCAGUAGUGUUUUCAGUAGUGAAAGCAAGGAAGCAUGGGUCACCUCCAAAGGCUCUCUGCGGCUGUCUCUCUAAAAGCAGCUUACCAGCUCUGAGCAGCCGCUGAACACUGGCUCCUUCCUGGUGAAAAUGAGAACAUUUGACAAGCCAAGGUCACCAGGGGGCUUUGCCUGUAUAAGGCUUCAAUCGCAGGGCCCAGCGAACACUGCAAAGUCAUAAAGCACUUUGUCAUCACUCGCUAUAUAAACUCUCAACAAUCAAGUAGGAUCACAUUCCCUCCCUCCCACCCUCCCACUCUGUGUGGCCUGUGUCACUUGAUUUUCUCCUGGCGCUGUUUCAAAUCCAAAUGGAGUGUGUGGAUACUAGAAGGCUGUCGUGUUGGGCCUCUUUUGAACCUAAAGGAAAGCUUUACUCACCUUAUUGGCAGGUAAAGGAAAGCACUGGUGAGGGAGCGGUGAGGAAAAGCAGCAGUAGGCUGUAAAAAAAAAAAACAAACAGGGGAGGCGGGUUCUGGCAGUAUUUAUGAACACUCCAAUAAUGAGCCAUCAGGAGCAUGGUGGCCAUGAGAACACGAAGGUAGACAAGAGGUAGAAAAAACAAAUGCCCUUGUCCUGCGCUGGUGGAGAGCAGCUACGCUGAUGCGAGGAGAUUGGAUUAUCCAAGGGAAGGCCUGUCAGCCUGCUGAGGGACCGCGGCUGCAGGCGGCGCAGGGGCAACAGGUGCGGCACUCGCCUGCGUUUGUGCAAAUUAGACUAAUCACAGGGUCUGACUGUGGAACACCUGAAGCAGGCAAGAGAGGGAGAAGAAAAUAAAGGGCGGUAGAGGGUCCAAGCAAUGUCUUCUUCAUGGCUAUUUGUGUUCACAAUGCCUUUCGCUAUUCAGAUUGGACUUCUCGAUGCUAACAUUAUGAUGAUCAUCAUCAUGAUGCUUUACCAUAGUUAAGCCUAUUAGCAUGCUGGCAUGGGCUAAUUAGCACUAAACACUAAGUAUAGCUGUGGGAAUGUUAGUUUGUCUGAAACUUGGUCAUAAAGGAAAAUUUUGACCUGAAGAUGGAACUAGAUAGUCAGUUAGUAAAAUUCAUCCUGGGAGUGGCUAGACUACAUCACGUAAUCAUAACCUCAAAGAUUUUUGGAAUUUAGGUGAGCUCAUAGGUGACAGACGAGAUAAAAUCUCACAGUAGUACUAAUAAAAGCAAUGUAUAAAUAAACACUUAAACAUGUACAUGUACUUACAUCCAUAAGUCAAUGCAUCAAAAAAGAAAAAGGUUUUUUAAUUAUAAAGAGUCUUAUAGUCAUGUUAGGAGUCAAGUUGUAACUCUGGAAACACAUACUGAAGUUUUGAAGUCAGAUACAUACCAGACCAAGCAGAGAAUGUUUAAAUAAUAAUCAGUCUUACCACUUCCUCCAGAGAGUAAUUUCACAAUGUUCCUUGAACAGCUGCCAGUCAAAACUUUGUUUCCCUCUGAUUGUACGCAGAGUAAAUGCAUUUUUAAUCAGCUUUGUAGGUCUAUGGUGACCAUUUUCAGAACUUUUACACAAUGAGCUUAAGAUUCACCAGGCUUGUACAGCUUUCUAAUUGUAGCCACUUCUUCUUUUAGCUGCCCAGAGGCCCAAACUUUCACCCACCAUAAACCACGUGUGAGAAUUAAUGGGUAAAGUAGGAUGGUCUGUGAAAAAGGGGAAGGCCAUACAUUCACCGACCUUGUCCUCCAAAAUUGGCAUGGAUUGUCGCAGCGAAAUACAAUCCACAUUUUCAUGCCCUUAGUGAGGAGGAGACCGAGUGAAAAAAAAUAAUCCCAAAAUCCCUCAGUGGACACCCAAUGUCUUGUUUUGGAGGGUCUGCGGUACUCAGAAUUCUUUUGGUAACAGAAACCCAUAGUGAAUGAUGGACAUUUUCUAUUAUUAGCAUCAGCAGAAUCUUCCCAACCUUUGCUUCUUCCAUGCUACAAAUAUCACAUUGCUGAUGUAUUCCAUAUUAAAUUACUGAGUUUUAACUGAGCAGGGCUGUGCAGUGUCUGUUAUCAACAACCAUAAUGUGGAAGAUUAGCACACACAUGAUGCCCACCUGUUGCCCAGCUCUGUUUUAUGAAGGUCACAGCUGUGAUACUGAAACCGGUCUUUUUAAAGGCUCUCGUGAUGUUCAGGGUUGUGGGGGGUGGGAGGAGGGAGGAGGGGUUGUUGGUGAUAUUCAGGAGUCAUUCAACAGAAAUAAAGCUGAUUGUAACGCUUUAAUUUUAAAUGUAUUGCAACAGUUGUCCAACAGUUGUGCAACAUAAUCAUCCAGAGAUGACACUAAACUCCCAAAACUUUAACCUGCUGUAACCUACAAAACAGUUUCUUAAGACUCCACCACAUGCUGUCUUUCAAAUGCCACAGUUGUCACAUUUCUGUUUAGCCCACACUAUUUCAAGUUUACCCUCGUUCCCACCCAGCCACUCUUGACCACAUGGGAGCGGUGACAUUAAUGCUUUUUGCUAUAUUUUCAUCAGCGUAAAUCCCCAAAGAAUGUCACCAGAAAUGUUUUUCUACUUAAGUGACUUGCAACGUCACCUUAAGAUAAUCAGUAGGAAGCCUGUGCCAGUGUAGGGUAUUAUUAAUUAACCACAGCUAGAUUAUCGUGUGUUUUGGUAAUGAUUCACCACCUGAAUAGUUAGUUUCUGAAGCUAAAUUAGUGUCUGUGAAAUGCCCGUUCAGCAUUGUGAUGUUUAUGUGCAGCACAUUCAGGUUGAAAUCGUGAAAUUUUAAUGAAAAAACGAUCCAGCAAAUGGCCAGUGCAUUGAUAUAAUGGAGCAAAGUAUAUAACAAUUAUUAUGUUGCAUCAGUAGUCUGUCCAUUCAUUUAUUAUAUAGAUACGGAGGAUAUCGUUUCGGAAGUGAAUUAAAGUUGCAGUAGAUUUAAAGCAUAAGUUUAAUCAUGUAUUAUUCAACAACGAAACAAAUCUGCAAAUCUGACAUUGCACUUUCUUUUCAACUCAAAUCAUUUCUUUACUUCAGUUGCUUUCACGUUUGUAACCAAAACUACUUUUUUUUUUUCUUUUUUCACUUGACCUGUGACUGCUCCCACUCGAAAGUUAGAAUUUGGCAGUUUCUUCAUGCAAAUCAGACCCAGUAUGCAUGUGCAUAAUGGCUUAGAAUAUGAUGAAUUGAUUAAGGCGGUUUAUUAACAAUAGUGUGUGUGAGUUAAGCAGCAACUUCCUUUUUUAUGCGAACAGACAAACCACUUUAACCCGCUUCAAGAGAAAAUCAUCAUUUUCUUCCACAGAAAUUACAGUUGAAAGGCUUUCACAGCAUUAACAUAAGAGUGAGUCAUACAGUGCCGGGUGCCAGAGUCAAACGGUUUUAUAGCUCUGUCAAACGCUGUCCGUUGUGUGUUCCAGCCAUCAUCGCAGAGCAGAAACACCAUGUUGGAUCAUUCCGGCUUAUUGUCAGCCAAUAUGCCAGGCUUUUUCCCUGAAAGAAAACGAUCCCAUUCCCCUCGGACUCACGUCAAAUUAAGCAAAUUUACAGCUUAGCACUUAAGAAUUCUCCGUUUGCCAAGAAAGCAGCAGCAGGCCUCACUUUGCCAGUUAGCGGUGCUGCACUGUGGCAAUUGAAGUGGAAUGAGAAUUACUCUGGCUUCCGAGAGAGCGAUGGGCCCCAUUUGAUUUUUUUUUUUUUUUGCUCCAAGCUCUCUGCUUUUGGAUAAGACUUAUAAAGUGAUGAAACACUCCCACUCAACUCCGGAGACCUCUGGUCCAAUUCUGAAGCAAACUACUUGAAGGGUAAUGGCCAUGUGGCGAUGGGCCAGCCUGGAUCAACCGUUUUAUGCACUUGUUUCUGCUUGCUGUCUGCUACUAGUUGUUUGUUCUGUUGGCAAAGUCGUGUUUAACUCUGGGCAUGACAAAUCUAUGGCAAUGGGCAAACUUGAGGCAAAGUAAAACAAAUAGAACACAAUGUUUGGUAUUUCUUAGUAAACAUUUAUGUAACAGGGUUGACAGGCGGCUCAUUUUUCACAAGGGCCUCAACAACACUAAUCUUUCCACUGGAUUCUGUUUGUGUUUGUAAGAUGACAACUGAGUGUUUACCAAAUAACAUCUCCCGCGUAACAUUACACCCCCGCCUCCCCCCUUUCUGAAAAUGUGUUCACUUCAAACAGAGCUCGCAGAAAUACAGGAGCUAUGUUUCCUCCCUCUCAGCACAGUUAACCACGUUUAACUUUUCAUUUCAUGAACUUUUCAUUCAGAAUUCAAACAUCCAUCAACAUUUAAAAUGCGCCAGGUGUUAAGUGCUGAUGUAUUGUCUCAUCUAAAGGACUUCUAGUCAAGUGUGUUGAAAUAAUGAAUUUUAAUUUUCAGGAAACUUCAUCUAAAGGUCAAACUCAUAAUCUAAAGUGCUGUGAAGUGUCUCUCAAGAAAAGCUGUAACCCUUUUACAUCUCUCAUAGACUGACGCUGAAUUCCUGCCUUCUGACAAACCCUGAUGACGUCAUUGCAGAGAUAAAAACAAUAACAAAAAAAGCACAAAAAAAAACACGGCACUUUAUCUGAGACGUAUUAUUAUGUGGGUCAUUACCAUGACAAUCUGAUCAGCAGUUUCCGGGCGGGUUUGCCCCACCUCUCUUCUGUGUGAACUGGCCAGAGUUUAAUCCAGUUUUUCAGGUUUUUGAAGUUAAUAACCACACCACAGUUGUUUGUUUUUACUAACUGACUGUUCCCGCAAAACUGUGAGAAGAAUGCUUUGUUAUCUUUAUGUCGUAAGAGGAAAAAAAAAAUGUGUUGAAAGACAGAUUUCUAGAUACACCACCCUCUAAAGAAUGUGAGGUGUGUUUAUGGAAAAAGGAGAAUGAGGAAAAAAAAAAAAAAAGCUACGCGGCCAGAAACGAAA